rnacentral:tRNA from 3 species
GGGCGUGUAGCUCAGCGGGAGAGCACCUCGGUGACAUCGAGGGGGUCGUAGGUUCAAUCCCUACCACGCCCACCA